CGUAGGUGGCAAGCGUUGUCCGGAUUUAUUGGGCGUAAAGGGAGCGCAGGCGGUGACUUAAGUCUGAUGUGAAAGCCCACGGCUCAACCGUGGAAGGUCAUUGGAAACUGGGUCACUUGAAUAUAGAAGAGGAAAGUGGAAUUCCAUGUGUAGCGGUGAAAUGCGUAGAUAUAUGGAGGAACACCAGUGGCGAGGGCGACUUUCUGGUCUAUUAUUGACGCUGAGGCUCGAAAGCAUGGGUAGCAAACAGGAUU
rnacentral:rRNA from 1 species